UACGUAGGGCGCAAGCGUUGUCCGGAAUUAUUGGGCGUAAAGAGCUCGUAGGCGGUUUAGAAAGUCAGGUGUGAAACCUCCAGGCUCAACCUGGAGACGCCACUUGAUACUUCUAUGACUUGAGUUCGGUAGGGGACCAUGGAAUUCCUGGUGUAGCGGUGAAAUGCGCAGAUAUCAGGAGGAACACCGAUGGCGAAGGCAGUGGUCUGGGCCGAUACUGACGCUGAGGAGCGAAAGCGUGGGGAGCGAACAGG
rnacentral:rRNA from 1 species